rnacentral:rRNA from 1 species
UUAAGCGACUAAGCGUACACGGUGGAUGCCCUGGCAGUCAGAGGCGAUGAAGGACGUGCUAAUCUGCGAUAAGCGUCGGUAAGGUGAUAUGAACCGUUAUAACCGGCGAUUUCCGAAUGGGGAAACCCAGUGUGUUUCGACACACUAUCAUUAACUGAAUCCAUAGGUUAAUGAGGCGAACCGGGGGAACUGAAACAUCUAAGUACCCCGAGGAAAAGAAAUCAACCGAGAUUCCCCCAGUAGCGGCGAGCGAACGGGGAGCAGCCCAGAGCCUGAAUCAGUGUGUGUGUUAGUGGAAGCGUCUGGAAAGGCGCGCGAUACAGGGUGACAGCCCCGUACACAAAAAUGCACAUAUUGUGAGCUCGAUGAGUAGGGCGGGACACGUGGUAUCCUGUCUGAAUAUGGGGGGACCAUCCUCCAAGGCUAAAUACUCCUGACUGACCGAUAGUGAACCAGUACCGUGAGGGAAAGGCGAAAAGAACCCCGGCGAGGGGAGUGAAAAAGAACCUGAAACCGUGUACGUACAAGCAGUGGGAGCACGCUUAGGCGUGUGACUGCGUACCUUUUGUAUAAUGGGUCAGCGACUUAUAUUCUGUAGCAAGGUUAACCGAAUAGGGGAGCCGAAGGGAAACCGAGUCUUAACUGGGCGUUAAGUUGCAGGGUAUAGACCCGAAACCCGGUGAUCUAGCCAUGGGCAGGUUGAAGGUUGGGUAACACUAACUGGAGGACCGAACCGACUAAUGUUGAAAAAUUAGCGGAUGACUUGUGGCUGGGGGUGAAAGGCCAAUCAAACCGGGAGAUAGCUGGUUCUCCCCGAAAGCUAUUUAGGUAGCGCCUCGUGAAUUCAUCUCCGGGGGUAGAGCACUGUUUCGGCAAGGGGGUCAUCCCGACUUACCAACCCGAUGCAAACUGCGAAUACCGGAGAAUGUUAUCACGGGAGACACACGGCGGGUGCUAACGUCCGUCGUGAAGAGGGAAACAACCCAGACCGCCAGCUAAGGUCCCAAAGUCAUGGUUAAGUGGGAAACGAUGUGGGAAGGCCCAGACAGCCAGGAUGUUGGCUUAGAAGCAGCCAUCAUUUAAAGAAAGCGUAAUAGCUCACUGGUCGAGUCGGCCUGCGCGGAAGAUGUAACGGGGCUAAACCAUGCACCGAAGCUGCGGCAGCGACGCUUAUGCGUUGUUGGGUAGGGGAGCGUUCUGUAAGCCUGUGAAGGUGUGCUGUGAGGCAUGCUGGAGGUAUCAGAAGUGCGAAUGCUGACAUAAGUAACGAUAAAGCGGGUGAAAAGCCCGCUCGCCGGAAGACCAAGGGUUCCUGUCCAACGUUAAUCGGGGCAGGGUGAGUCGACCCCUAAGGCGAGGCCGAAAGGCGUAGUCGAUGGGAAACAGGUUAAUAUUCCUGUACUUGGUGUUACUGCGAAGGGGGGACGGAGAAGGCUAUGUUGGCCGGGCGACGGUUGUCCCGGUUUAAGCGUGUAGGCUGGUUUUCCAGGCAAAUCCGGAAAAUCAAGGCUGAGGCGUGAUGACGAGGCACUACGGUGCUGAAGCAACAAAUGCCCUGCUUCCAGGAAAAGCCUCUAAGCAUCAGGUAACAUCAAAUCGUACCCCAAACCGACACAGGUGGUCAGGUAGAGAAUACCAAGGCGCUUGAGAGAACUCGGGUGAAGGAACUAGGCAAAAUGGUGCCGUAACUUCGGGAGAAGGCACGCUGAUAUGUAGGUGAAGUCCCUCGCGGAUGGAGCUGAAAUCAGUCGAAGAUACCAGCUGGCUGCAACUGUUUAUUAAAAACACAGCACUGUGCAAACACGAAAGUGGACGUAUACGGUGUGACGCCUGCCCGGUGCCGGAAGGUUAAUUGAUGGGGUCAGCGCAAGCGAAGCUCUUGAUCGAAGCCCCGGUAAACGGCGGCCGUAACUAUAACGGUCCUAAGGUAGCGAAAUUCCUUGUCGGGUAAGUUCCGACCUGCACGAAUGGCGUAAUGAUGGCCAGGCUGUCUCCACCCGAGACUCAGUGAAAUUGAACUCGCUGUGAAGAUGCAGUGUACCCGCGGCAAGACGGAAAGACCCCGUGAACCUUUACUAUAGCUUGACACUGAACAUUGAGCCUUGAUGUGUAGGAUAGGUGGGAGGCUUAGAAGUGUGGACGCCAGUCUGCAUGGAGCCGACCUUGAAAUACCACCCUUUAAUGUUUGAUGUUCUAACGUUGACCCGUAAUCCGGGUUGCGGACAGUGUCUGGUGGGUAGUUUGACUGGGGCGGUCUCCUCCUAAAGAGUAACGGAGGAGCACGAAGGUUGGCUAAUCCUGGUCGGACAUCAGGAGGUUAGUGCAAUGGCAUAAGCCAGCUUGACUGCGAGCGUGACGGCGCGAGCAGGUGCGAAAGCAGGUCAUAGUGAUCCGGUGGUUCUGAAUGGAAGGGCCAUCGCUCAACGGAUAAAAGGUACUCCGGGGAUAACAGGCUGAUACCGCCCAAGAGUUCAUAUCGACGGCGGUGUUUGGCACCUCGAUGUCGGCUCAUCACAUCCUGGGGCUGAAGUAGGUCCCAAGGGUAUGGCUGUUCGCCAUUUAAAGUGGUACGCGAGCUGGGUUUAGAACGUCGUGAGACAGUUCGGUCCCUAUCUGCCGUGGGCGCUGGAGAACUGAGGGGGGCUGCUCCUAGUACGAGAGGACCGGAGUGGACGCAUCACUGGUGUUCGGGUUGUCAUGCCAAUGGCACUGCCCGGUAGCUAAAUGCGGAAGAGAUAAGUGCUGAAAGCAUCUAAGCACGAAACUUGCCCCGAGAUGAGUUCUCCCUGACUCCUUGAGAGUCCUGAAGGAACGUUGAAGACGACGACGUUGAUAGGCCGGGUGUGUAAGCGCAGCGAUGCGUUGAGCUAACCGGUACUAAUGAACCGUGAGGCUUAACCU